GAACGUGGUGAGAAUCCACAUGGCCGGAAACCUCAGGUUUUUGGAGGAAGGUUCGUCCGCUCCAAGUUAGGCGGGAGCUAAGGUCAGGCCGAAAGGCGUAGCCGAUGCACAGACGGUAGAGAUUCCGUCCCCACCGAAAGAUUUAAGCACAGGGACACUUUUUGAAGGUCGGAGCCAGGUGUUGGUUCUGGUAGUGAUCGAGGGAAAUAUAGUACCGAAGUCCGGCUGGAAGAGAGGCGAGAAAAGCUGUGUGUAUAUCUAAGGUGCCCGUACCGCAAACCGACACAGGUAGUUAGGAAGAAGAUUCUAAGGCCAACGGGAGAAGGGUUGUUAAGGAACUCGGCAAGUUGACCCCGUAACUUCGGAAUAAGGGGUGCUCACGAGAGUGAGCCGCAGAGAAUAGGCCCAGGCAACUGUUUACCAAAAACACAGGUUUGUGCUAAAUCGAAAGAUGACGUAUACGAGCUGACGCCUGCCCGGUGCUGGAAGGUUAAAAGGAGAUGUGCAAGCAUUGAAUUGAAGCCCCAGUGAACGGCGGCCGUAACAAUAACGGUCCUAAGGUAGCGAAAUUCCUUGUCAGGUAAGUUCUGACCCGCAUGAAAGGCGUAAUGAUCUGGGCACUGUCUCAACAGCCCGCCCGGCGAAAUUGUAGUACCGGUGAAGAUGCCGGUUACCCGCGACAAGACGGAAAGACCCCAUGGAGCUUUACUGUAGCCUGAUAUUGGGUUUCGGUGUUGCAUGCACAGGAUAGAUGGGACACUGGGAAGGCAGUGCUUUGGCAUUGCUGGAGUGGACGUUGGGAUACCAUCCUUGCGACAUUGGAAUUCUAACCUGCGCCUCUGAAGCGAGGCGGGGGACAUUGUCAGGUGGGCAGUUUGACUGGGGCGGUCGCCUCCUAAAAAGUAGCGGAGGCGUUCAAAGGUUCGUUCGAUCUGGACGGAAACCAGAUGAUUGAGUGCAAACGCAUAAACGAGCCUGACUGCGAGACUGACGGGUCGAGCAGAGACGAAAGUCGGAGUUAGUGAUCCGGUGGUAUGUGAGUGGAAAUGCCAUCGCUCAACGGAUAAAAGUUACCCUGGGAUAACAGGCUGAUCUCCCCCAAGAGUCCACAUCGACGGGGAGGUUUGGCACCUCGAUGUCGGCUCAUCGCAUCCUGGGGCUGAAUUCGGUCCCAAGGGUUUGGCUGUUCGCCAAUUAAAGCGGUACGCGAGCUGGGUUCAGAACGUCGUGAGACAGUUCGGUCCCUAUCUGUCGUGGGCGCAGGAUAUUUGAAAGGCGCUGUCCCUAGUACGAGAGGACCGGGAUGGACGAACCUCUGGUGCACCAGUUGUCACGCCAGUGGCACAGCUGGGCAGCUAUGUUCGGAUCGGAUAAACGCUGAAAGCAUCUAAGCGUGAAGCCGGCCUUAAGAUAAGAUAUCCCACUGAGUCAAUCAGGUAAGACCCCUUGAAGACUACAAGGUUGAUAGGCACACAGUGUAAGCGGAGUGAUCCGUUCAGCUAGCGUGUACUAAUAGGUCGAGGGCUUGACC
rnacentral:rRNA from 1 species